UAGGGGAUAUGUCGCGAAACUAUGAAUGAAAAACUAAUCGGCAGUCUUGGAGCCAAGAAUCCAUGAGUAUGACCAUACCCAACCAGCAAAAAUAUUAUGGCUAUUGAAGCAUUGAAGGAAAAAAAUGGGAUGGGAAUUGCAGCAAAAACAUUUGGUUUCUAAAGCGACGCUUAGAAGAUAUGCACUCAAUAUGAACAAAACCUUGAAUUCUAACCCUAAAAGAUUAGGAAGAAUCUCAAACGAUUUAAUUAUUGUGAACUUUGUUCUUAAAAAUGUGUAUGUCAUUUUGUCCAUACUUAGAUAUGGACAAAUAUUUUGGUUUUUGUGAUUAGUCAUCUUUUUUCUUUUUGUAUGUUUUAUUAUAG